rnacentral:lncRNA from 1 species
UGUGUGUGGCGGGGGGGAGGUGGUUCUUUUCUCUAAAAAGGCUUUCUUCUUUAUUAAAAAAUGAUGCAAAUAAGGACCAUUCUUCCCCAGGUCUUGGAUGUUGCUGUAUGAAGAGGAGAUGCUCAGACCUUUUCCAUCUGCCUUGCAGUCAUGAGGAGACAACUAUUGUAAAUGGAAUAACUUUCAACCUCUUUACAUGUUGGACCUCUCUACCUUCUUAUGGUGCUAAGAUCUUAAAUUGCCUCUGUAAGGAUUUUAAGAGGCAGAAGAGUGUUGCUAGUUUUGGAAAAGACUAGCCAAGACUAACCUAGAAUGUGGGAGCUUGAAGACAGAAUCAAGUAACCAACCACAACAGUCAUCUGGAUGGCAACUUGCAUCACGUGAAUCAAGAAUCCAAGGCAAGUCAGAUCCACUAUAGCCUAACCCUAUCUCCAAACAGAUGUGAGAUCUACUAUCCAGUUGUGUAAUCUCCAUACUUCCUCCCUCUGUAUUUGAAGCAUGAUAUGAGUUUAUGAAGGAAGAUAAAAAAGAGAUAAGUAAUUAAAUGAAGGAGAAAACAAGUCCAGGACUAAGAUGGUAGGUUUGAAACUUAGAUUGUAUGUCUACAAAUUGGUAAAAACCAAGUAGACAAUGACUCUUCCCCUUUCCUGCUCAGGAUUGUCUGUCUUCAUUUGGUAGAGUGAGGCAAAAUCAUGGUUAAACAGUAAAUGCAAAUAUCACGAUUCCUGACUUCAUUUAGCCUCGCUGCAUUUAUUAAAACUUAUAUAUAACAUCUUGCCUAUCCAAAAUAUAACAUAUGGACCACGUGGGUGAGUGUGUUAGCAGAACCUUUACUUGUACAGCCUUUGAUUGUGGAGGCUUCAAAAUAACCUGAAUGUUAAAUCACUAUUUAAAAUAAAAUAAAAAAAAGAUUUUGACUUUUUAAAACC